ensembl:misc_RNA Y_RNA Y RNA
GGCUGGUCCUAGUGCAGUGGUGUUCACACCUAAUUGAUCACAACCACUUAUAGAUUUCUCUGUUCCUUCUCUAUUCCUACUGCUUCACUUGACUAGCCUUAA